rnacentral:rRNA from 1 species
GACGAACGCUGGCGGCGUGCUUAACACAUGCAAGUCGAACGGACUCCAUCCAGUAGCAAUACUGGGGAAGAGUUAGUGGCGAACGGGUGAGUAACACGUGAGAAACCUAUCCUGGUCUCUGGGAUAACAGUCGGAAACAACUGCUAAUACCGGAUGCCGUCGGAGCGUCGCAUGGCGCGCUGACGAAAGGGUUACUGGAUCAGGAGGGUCUCGCGGCCUAUCAGCUAGUUGGUGGGGUAACGGCCUACCAAGGCAUCGACGGGUAGCUGGUCUGAGAGGAUGAUCAGCCACACUGGGACUGAGACACGGCCCAGACUCCUACGGGAGGCUG